UUAAAUCUGUGUUUCCCGCUUGGAUUUACCCAGGGUGUUUCCAGAACAUUCCACGGCCCCGUGGCCCCGCCCUGCACGGAGAGCAAACGCUGGAAAAGGAGCUCUGGUUUUCCAGCUUUUCCUGAAAAAUCCCGGGGUUUUGGCAUCGCAUCCUCACCCCCGGCUCUUCCCAUGGUGACCGGAGUGGACACCGUGGGCUCCAGGGCAGCGAGAGAUCCCGGGAUCCCGGAAUUCCCAGCCAGGGGGAGGGAUUGAUCCGUCCUGUCCCAAAUCAGCAGCUCAGAGGGUCCCACCUGGGCCAGGUGACAGCGAGGUGACAUCGCAGAGCCACCGAGAGGAAGAAAUUCCGGAGCAUUAAAAAGUGUUGGAAUCUCCCAGCCCGGUGUUCAAAUGGAA